UAUUAAAAUUUUUAUUCAUUUAUAUUGUUAAAAACUAGUGUGGUUGACAGAAUAAUUAGACAGUGACAUGUGACGUGCCACGUGUACCUCAUGCUAACGUACACGGAUCAAUUUUUAACAACAGAAUUGGAUCAAAUGUUUAAUA
rnacentral:pre_miRNA from 1 species